rnacentral:rRNA from 1 species
AGUGAACGCUGGCGGUAGGCCUAACACAUGCAAGUCGAACGGCAGCACAGGAGAGCUUGCUCUCUGGGUGGCGAGUGGCGGACGGGUGAGGAAUACAUCGGAAUCUACUCUGUCGUGGGGGAUAACGUAGGGAAACUUACGCUAAUACCGCAUACGACCUACGGGUGAAAGUAGGGGACCCUCGGGCCUUGCGCGAUUGCAUGAGCCGAUGUCGGAUUAGCUAGUUGGCGGGGUAAAGGCCCACCAAGGCGACGAUCCGUAGCUGGUCUGAGAGGAUGAUCAGCCACACUGGAACUGAGACACGGUCCAGACUCCUACGGGAGGCAGCAGUGGGGAAUAUUGGACAAUGGGCGCAAGCCUGAUCCAGCCAUACCGCGUGGGUGAAGAAGGCCUUCGGGUUGUAAAGCCCUUUUGUUGGGAAAGAAAUCCAGCUGGCUAAUACCCGGUUGGGAUGACGGUACCCAAAGAAUAAGCACCGGCUAACUUCGUGCCAGCCGCCGCAGUAA